rnacentral:rRNA from 1 species
CUACGGGAGGCAGCAGUGGGGAAUUUUGGACAAUGGGGGCAACCCUGAUCCAGCCAUGCCGCGUGAGUGAAGAAGGCCUUCGGGUUGUAAAGCUCUUUCAGCCGGGAAGAAAUCGCAUGGGCCAAUACCCUGUGCGGAUGACGGUACCGGAAUAAGAAGCACCGGCUAACUACGUGCCAGCAGCCGCGGUAAUACGUAGGGUGCGAGCGUUAAUCGGAAUUACUGGGCGUAAAGCGUGCGCAGGCGGAUGCUUAAGUCAGAUGUGAAAUCCCCGGGCUUAACCUGGGAAUUGCAUUUGAAACUGGGUGUCUAGAGUGCGUCAGAGGGGGGUGGAAUUCCACGUGUAGCAGUGAAAUGCGUAGAUAUGUGGAGGAACACCAAUGGCGAAGGCAGCCCCCUGGGAUGACACUGACGCUCAUGCACGAAAGCGUGGGGAGCAAACAGGAUUAGAUACCCGCGUAGUC